AUCAAGCCAUAUCAACCUGCAGCCUAAGACCGGUUACUCACUGAAGCUAAGCAGGGCUGAGCCUGGUCAGUACCUGGAUGGGAGAUCACAUGGGAACACCAGGUUGCUGUUGAAA
rnacentral:rRNA from 1 species